AAAUAACUGCUACUAAUGGGCAAAUAUACAUAAAAUACUAGAAUAGUACCACAGAGUAGUUAACAGUCAAUAUUUCUGAUGAUCGUGAUGUUGGAGAACAUCCAGGAUAAAGUUUGAGGUAGCUCUUAAUAAAGAGUAAGAAAUAAGUAAGAGUAAUAAAAAUAAAUAGUAAGAAUCUCAUUCCUAAAAGUACUGGUAAAUCUGAGAGAAUAGAAAGUCACCCUUCCUGUUGUCUGUGGGUUUCAUUUCUAAACCUCUAUCAG
rnacentral:lncRNA from 1 species